AUAUCAAUAAGCGGAGGAAAAGAAACCAACAGGGAUUGCCCUAGUAACGGCGAGUGAAGCGGCAACAGCUCAAAUUUGAAAUCUGGCCCCUCUGGGGUCCGAGUUGUAAUUUGCAGAGGAUGCUUCGGCGUCGGCCCCGGGCCAAGUCCCCUGGAACGGGGCGUCCUAGAGGGUGAGAGCCCCGUACUCUCCCGGGUGUCCUUCGCCGUGUGAAGCUCCUUCGACGAGUCGAGUUGUUUGGGAAUGCAGCUCCAAGCGGGAGGUAAAUUCCUUCUAAGGCUAAAUACCGGCCAGAGACCGAUAGCGCACAAGUAGAGUGAUCGAAAGAUGAAAAGCACUUUGGAAAGAGAGUUAAAAAGCACGUGAAAUUGUUGAAAGGGAAGCUCUUGCCGCCAGACUUGCCGCGGUUGUUCGGCCGCCCCCAGGGGCGGCGUACUCUUCCGCCGGCAGGCCAGCGUCGGUUCGGGCGGCCGGAUAAAGGCCCCGGGAACGUAGCACCCUCCGGGGUGUGUUAUAGCCCGGGGUGCAAUGCGGUCAGCCCGGUCCGAGGCACGCGUUCGCGAGGACGCUGGCGUAAUGGCCGCAAGCGACCCGUCUUGAAACACGGACCAAGGAGUCUAACAUCUGUGCGAGUGUUUGGGCGUCAAACCCAUGCGCGUAAUGAAAGUGAACGGAGGUGGGAACCCCCUCGAGGGGCGCACCAUCGACCGAUCCUGAUGUCUUCGGAUGGAUUUGAGUAAGAGCAUAGCUGUUGGGACCCGAAAGAUGGUGAACUAUUCCCGGAUAGGGUGAAGCCAGGGGAAACUCUGGUGGAGGCUCGCAGCGGUUCUGACGUGCAAAUCGAUCGUCAAAUCUAGGAAUAGGGGCGAAAGACUAAUCGAACCAU
rnacentral:rRNA from 1 species